rnacentral:rRNA from 1 species
GAGGAUACACCUGUUCCCAUUCCGAACACAGAAGUUAAGCUCUCUAGCGCUGAUGGUACUUGGUGGGAAACCGCCUGGGAGAGUAGGACAUAGCCAGGUA